rnacentral:lncRNA from 1 species
GUGUCACAGCUGCUUUUAAUGAGAAGGACAGGCUCAUGCAUGGCACUCUUGGUUAAUGUCUGCGUACAGGUUCAUGCAUGGCACUCUUGGUUAAUGUCUGCAUUAAAUGGUUUUUGGUUUUCAUAACUUUCCUGAAGAAGUAGCUAACUCACUUCCCUGCUCCUCACAUGCUGGCUUGUCCUGAGCCACAGGUUUUGAUUCUUGCAAUGUAUGUGCCUUAUUUUAUGUUUCCUUGUCAAUGAGAAGGACCAGUUGCUGUUGUCCAGUCAGCACUCAGAGGCUGCAUGCCCAGACAGUGUUACCAGGAAACGAGCACAGGACUGUGGCGGUGGUCUGCAGUGUUGGGUGAUCUGAUUUCCUGGGUUGUUUGAAGCUAAUAGGAGGGUGUUCUCCUCUGACAAGUUACCCUUGUAUAUCCUGCAAAUGUGUAAGAUAAACUGUGUUCCUUUUCUCCAUCAUUUUUUAGAUUUUUAAAGAAUAAAAUGUGUAAUCCUUUUUAAAGAACAACACAUGUAAAUACAUUCAAGUAUUGUAGAUGUAGAUGGGGAUGUGAUGGCCUUGGGCCUUCCUUGGAAAAGCCUGUGGCUGCUCAGUGCUCAUAGGCCAUGGGAAUGUCAGCCCAGACACAUGAACUCUGCCUUGGCUUUCAGAACCACUUAGUCCUUUUGUAACAAAGAAAAAUAAAUAAUAAAAAUGUUUCUUACAGUGUCAAUAAAACAAAACCUUUGUACUGAAA